GUGCCCUCUUCUUCCAACGCGCAGGCGCCGCCCGAAAGUCCGCUGUCUCCGUGACAGCCGGCAGGCAGCUCGGUCACCACCCGGAAGCGGAGUAAGCCGUCCGCCCGCCCGCGGGUUCUGCUGCACCCUGGGGAAAAGCUGGUCCCAGCUUGGUCAUUGACUACUCUGAGAAGCUUGUCCUGAACUACCAUGAGUGAGUGGGUCAGGCCACAUUUACUGCAUUACUCCCUAAAAUGGGAUCUCAUUCAGUGUUGACUUCACUUCUGCCUUCUCUACAGCCACUGGCAGGUGAGUAAGAAGAACGUUCUGACUCGUACAUUACGUCCUUCCAACAGCACA